rnacentral:rRNA from 1 species
CAGCCGCCGCGGUAAUACGGAGGGUGCAAGCGUUACUCGGAAUCACUGGGCGUAAAGCGCGCGCAGGCGGCCUUUUAAGUUGGAUGUGAAAGCCUAUGGCUCAACCAUAGAACUGCAUCCAAAACUAUCAGGCUAGAGUGUGGGAGAGGAAGAUGGAAUUAGUUGUGUAGGGGUAAAAUCCGUAGAGAUAACUAGGAAUACCAAAAGCGAAGGCAAUCUUCUGGAACAUUACUGACGCUGAGGCGCGAAAGCGUGGGGAGCAAACAGGAUUAGAUACCCUGGUAGUCCACGCCCUAAACGAUGAAUGUUAGUCGUCGGGUAGCUAGUCUAUUCGGUGAUGCAGCUAACGCAUUAAACAUUCCGCCUGGGGAGUACGGUCGCAAGAUUAAAACUCAAAGGAAUAGACGGGGACCCGCACAAGUGGUGGAGCAUGUGGUUUAAUUCGAAGAUACGCGAAGAACCUUACCUAGCCUUGACAUAUUUUAGAACACUUUAGAGAUAGUGUGGUGCCUUCGGGAGCUAAUAUACAGGUGCUGCACGGCUGUCGUCAGCUCGUGUCGUGAGAUGUUGGGUUAAGUCCCGCAACGAGCGCAACCCUCGUCACUAGUUACUAACGGUUCGGCCGAGGACUCUAGUGAGACUGCCUUCGUAAGGAGGAGGAAGGUGUGGAUGACGUCAAGUC